rnacentral:rRNA from 1 species
AUUGAACGCUGGCGGCAUGCCUUACACAUGCAAGUCGAACGGCAGCACGGGUGCUUGCACCUGGUGGCGAGUGGCGAACGGGUGAGUAAUAUAUCGGAACGUACCUUAUCGUGGGGGAUAACGCAGCGAAAGCUGUGCUAAUACCGCAUAAGCCCUAAGGGGGAAAGCAGGGGACCGUAAGGCCUUGCGCGAUUAGAGCGGCCGAUACCUGAUUAGCUAGUUGGUGAGGUAAAGGCUCACCAAGGCAACGAUCAGUAGCUGGUCUGAGAGGACGAUCAGCCACACUGGGACUGAGACACGGCCCAGACGCCUACGGGAGGCAGCAGUGGGGAAUUUUGGACAAUGGGGGCAACCCUGAUCCAGCAAUGCCGCGUGAGUGAAGAAGGCCUUCGGGUUGUAAAGCCCUUUUGUCAGGGAAGAAACAGCAGCUCUAAUACAGUAUGCGAAUGACGGUACCUGAAGAAUAAGCACCGGCUAACUACGUGCCAGCCGCCGCGGUAA